rnacentral:rRNA from 1 species
GCGAGGGAGACCACCUGGGAACACCGCGUGCCGUUGGCUUGGCAACGGCCAUAUCACGCUGAAUACACCGGUUCUCGUCCGAUCACCGAAGUUAAGCAGCGUCGAGCGCGGUCAGUACUUGGGAGGGAGACCAUCUGGGAACACCGCGUGCCGUUGGCUUGGCAACGGCCAUAUCACGCUGAAUACACCGGUUCUCGUCCGA